rnacentral:rRNA from 1 species
GACGAACGCUGGCGGCGUGCUUAAUACAUGCAAGUCAACUGAACUUGAAGUAGCAAUAUUUCAAGGGAGGUGGCGCACGGGUGAGUAACACGUAGGUAAUCUGCCUUUAGGUCUGACAUAAUUCCGCGAAAGCGGGACUAAUUUCAGAUGAUGCAGCGGCUCGACAUCGAGACAGUUGUUAAAUCUUCGGAGCCUAAAGAUGAGCCUGCGUCUGAUUAGGUAGUUGGCGGAGUAAAAGCCCACCAAGCCUGCGAUCAGUAGCUGGUCUGAGAGGAUGAUCAGCCACACUGGAACUGAGACACGGUCCAGACUCCUACGGGAGGCAGCAGUAAGGAAUAUUGCUCAAUGGGAGAAAUCCUGAAGCAGCAACGCCGCGUGAGGGAUGAAGGGCUUUUGCUCGUAAACCUCUGUAGUGAGGGAAAAAAUUUCCAUUCUAUGGAAUAUGAUGGU